rnacentral:rRNA from 1 species
GAUGAACGCUGGCGGCGUGCCUAAUACAUGCAAGUCGAGCGAACUGAUUAGAAGCUUGCUUCUAUGACGUUAGCGGCGGACGGGUGAGUAACACGUGAGCAACCUGCCUGUAAGACUGGGAUAACUUCGGGAAACCGAAGCUAAUACCGGAUAGGAUCUUCUCCUUCAUGGGAGAUGAUUGAAAGAUGGUUUCGGCUAUCACUUACAGAUGGGCCCGCGGUGCAUUAGCUAGUUGGUGAGGUAACGGCUCACCAAGGCAACGAUGCAUAGCCGACCUGCGAGGGGGAUCGGCCACACUGGGACUGAGACACGGCCCAGACUCCUACGGGAGGCAGCAGUAGGGAAUCUUCCGCAAUGGACGAAAGUCUGACGGAGCAACGCCGCGUGAGUGAUGAAGGCUUUCGGGUCGUAAAACUCUGUUGUUAGGGAAGAACAAGUACGAGAGUAACUGCUCGUACCUUGACGGUACCUAACCAGAAAGCCACGGCUAACUACGUGCCAGCAGCCGCUGUAACAC